AUGGGAGCAGGGCUAUAUGGGUACAUCGAUCAAUCAACUCCUGAACCACCUAAAACCAUCGUGACCAAAAACUUUGAAGGGAAAGAUCAGAUCGCCCCCAACCCCGCCUACAACCCCUGGCUUGUCCAGGAUCAGCAGAUCGUGGCCUAUCUUCUGCGGAAUCUCUCCAAGGAAGUUCUCAUCCAAGUAGCAUCCUUAGAACAGUCUCAUGCCAUCUGGUCUGCCCUAGCAAAGAUGUUCGCCGCUCAAUCCCGUUCCCGUGAGAACAACUGUCGCAUAGCUCUCUCCAACGCA
rnacentral:rRNA from 1 species